rnacentral:lncRNA from 1 species
CAAGAUUUACUCAGGAUAAUCUCAUUUAUACCAGUUAAAUCUAUUCUCCUACUAAGGUAAUGGAUAUCAUUUCUUUCAUAUUCGUUACAGAGAGAUCAUUUCUUUCAUAUUUAUAAGAGAUAUCACUUUCUUUCAUACUCCAAAAUCUAAACUUACUAUGGUAAGUAUCGCUUUCUAUAAUUCCUAAAAUGAUUAGAAAUUCCUUGGAGGUUUGCGCUUCAUCUAGUAUCAUUUCAUUUACCUGAAUCUUUUUAUUGAAUUUUAAUCGUUAUCUUUGAAAUAUGAAUCUUGAAUAUCAUUCUUGAAUUUGAAUCCAC